CGUCAAAGUAUAUAUGUAGGCAGGAAUAGUUUGACUAAAGUGGGAGAGCUACAUUUCCAGUUUCAUUUACUGUGCACUUACAAUGGUGAGUUUCUGUUUUUAUGUAGUUUUCAAUUUUAUUUUAUUUUAUUUAUUAAAACAAAUAUCUUAAAUAUCUUUUUUGGUUAUCACUGAAAUGUUUAAUUUGGUAAUGUGUUGUGUUUUUUUCUUAUUGCUUUAGACUUCUAUGGAAAACAACAGAAUAGAACAUGAAGACACUGAAGCACAUAAUUUUAAGACGAACAGUUUGAUAAUGAUUGAGGAAAUGCUGAAACUGAAGACCACGAUUCAACAAGACACUACAGCAUUGAUUGAUGAGAUGCUCCACAGCAUCUUCUUUCUGGGAAAUAUCAUGCAAACAUCAGUUUCUCCAGAAGACCUCAUCCCUGAUACGGAGCUCUUUCAAAACUUAAGGCAAGAAUAUCGAAGGCCUUUUGAACUCUAUUCCACUCAUCUGCCCAGGCGGAGUCCGUUCUCCUGUGUGCUUGACAUGGUAAGAAAAUAUGACUGCUACUUUCAUUCAGUAAUGAUACAUUUUCACUCAAACUUCAUGUAUAAAUUAAUAUCAAAUCCAAAGAAAAAGUAAAACACCUUCUGUACAUUAUGGUUCAGUGCCAAACAGAAGGUGAACACAGACUGUUGAAGAGUCAGGCCAUUUAAUCAGCUAAAAGACUGAAUAUUGAACUUAUAUUAUUCUGGACUCAAACACAACUCCUGGUCUAUUCUAGAAAGCAGAUUUAGCUAACAGUGAGUUUGUUAUCACUGAGGUGAGGGAAACGAUGUAAUGAGGAAAAAUGAGGCUUUCUGUUUCAGAAAGUCAGAUACUGGGGUAACAGAAUCUGUGAAUUGAACCUGCUCACUGGCAAGUUUUUUUCAAGAACUCAGAAUUUCUUUCAGACUUAAACCCUCUUGAAAUUUAAAAUCUGAACCUGGACAUUUGACAAUAAAACAAAAACAAAAAACACCAAAAUGUCUCAUUACCAAAGUGUAACACAAGAAACACUUAAUGAUGGGUAAAAUCAAAGAAAAUAGGUUUCAAAGUAAGUAAUGCACUCUAAUGCACACUGUGGCCUGUUUGCCUGCUCGCCAACUCCAUUGGUGAUGAAAAAACGUGGCCCAGACAAUCACCUGACCUCAUCCAAUAGAAAAUCUAUUGAAAGAACUAAAGCUCAGAACUGACAGAAGGGACCCACAGAACCUUCAGGAUCUGAAGACUGUUUGUGUGGAAGAAUG
rnacentral:lncRNA from 1 species